rnacentral:rRNA from 1 species
AUUGAACGCUGGCGGCAGGCCUAACACAUGCAAGUCGAACGAGUGGCGGACGGGUGAGUAAUGUCUGGGAAACUGCCUGAUGGAGGGGGAUAACUACUGGAAACGGUAGCUAAUACCGCAUACCAUCGGAUGUGCCCAGAUGGGAUUAGCUAGUAGGUGGGGUAACGGCUCACCUAGGCGACGAUCCCUAGCUGGUCUGAGAGGAUGACCGGCCAAACGGGACCUGGGACAGGGUCCAGACUCCUACGGGAGGAAGCAGUGGGUAAUAUUGCACAAGGGGCGCAAGCCGGAUGAACCAAUGCCGGGUGUAUGAAGAAGGCCUUCGGUUGGUAAAGUACUUUAAGCGGGAGGCGUUACCCGCAGAAGAAGCACCGGCUAACUCCGUGCCAGCAGCCGCGGUAAUAC